GCAGUCGACGACUCUGGUAUUGAUUGGUGCUUGCAUCAUGAUUUACAUUUGAGUGAGUGGCGAACUGGUGAGUAACACGUGGGAAACCUGCCCAGAAGCGGGGGAUAACACCUGGAAACAGAUGCUAAUACCGCAUAACAACUUGGACCGCAUGGUCCGAGUUUGAAAGAUGGCUUCGGCUAUCACUUUUGGAUGGUCCCGCGGCGUAUUAGCUAGAUGGUGGGGUAACGGCUCACCAUGGCAAUGAUACGUAGCCGACCUGAGAGGGUAAUCGGCCACAUUGGGACUGAGACACGGCCCAAACUCCUACGGGAGGCAGCAGUAGGGAAUCUUCCACAAUGGACGAAAGUCUGAUGGAGCAACGCCGCGUGAGUGAAGAAGGGUUUCGGCUCGUAAAACUCUGUUGUUAAAGAAGAACAUAUCUGAGAGUAACUGUUCAGGUAUUGACGGUAUUUAACCAGAAAGCCACGGCUAACUACGUGCCAGCAGCCGCGGUAAUACGUAGGUGGCAAGCGUUGUCCGGAUUUAUUGGGCGUAAAGCGAGCGCAGGCGGUUUUUUAAGUCUGAUGGAAAGCCUUCGGCUCAACCGAAGAAGUGCAUCGGAAACUGGGAAACUUGAGUGCAGAAGAGGACAGUGGAACUCCAUGUGUAGCGGUGAAAUGCGUAGAUAUAUGGAAGAACACCAGUGGCGAAGGCGGCUGUCUGGUCUGUAACUGACGCUGAGGCUCGAAAGUAUGGGUAGCAAACAGGAUUAGAUACCCUGGUAGUCCAUACCGUAAACGAUGAAUGCUAAGUGUUGGAGGGUUUCCGCCUUCAGUGCUGCAGCUAACGCAUUAAGCAUUC
rnacentral:rRNA from 2 species